UACGUAGGGAGCAAGCGUUGUCCGGAAUCAUUGGGCGUAAAGCGCGCGUAGGUGGCUUCAUAAGUCCGUUGUGAAAGUCAAAGGCUCAACCUUUGAAAGCCGAUGGAUACUGUGGAGCUAGAGUACGGAAGAGGCGAGUGGAAUUCCUGGUGUAGCGGUGGAAUGCGCAGAUAUCAGGAGGAACACCAAUAGCGAAGGCAGCUCGCUGGGACGUUACUGACACUGAGGAGCGAAAGCGUGGGGAGCGAACAGG
rnacentral:rRNA from 1 species